UACGAAGGGGGCUAGCGUUGUUCGGAUUUACUGGGCGUAAAGCGCACGUAGGCGGAUCUUUAAGUCAGAGGUGAAAUCCCGGAGCUCAACUUCGGAACUGCCUUUGAUACUGGGGAUCUCGAGUUCGGGAGAGGUGAGUGGAACUGCGAGUGUAGAGGUGAAAUUCGUAGAUAUUCGGCAAGAACACCAGUGGCGAAGGCGACUUACUGGACACAUAUUGACGCUGAGGUGCGAAAGCGUGGGGAGCAAACAGG
rnacentral:rRNA from 1 species